rnacentral:rRNA from 1 species
GAUGAACGCUAGCGGCAGGCUUAAUACAUGCAAGUCGUGGGGCAGCAGGGGUGUAGCAAUACACUCGCUGGCGACCGGCAAACGGGUGUGGAACACGUACACAACCUUCCUUUAAGUGGGGAAUAGCCCGGGGAAACCCGGAUUAAUACCCCGUAACAUAGUGAAAAGGCAUCUUUUUAUUAUUAUAGCAGCAAUGCGCUUGAUGAUGGGUGUGCGCCUGAUUAGGCAGUUGGCGGGGUAACGGCCCACCAAACCUACGAUCAGUAACUGGUGUGAGAGCACGACCAGUCACACGGGCACUGAGACACGGGCCCGACUCCUACGGGAGGCAGCAGUAAGGAAUAUUGGUCAAUGGACGCAAGUCUGAACCAGCCAUGCCGCGUGGAGGAUGAAGGUCCUCUGGAUUGUAAACUUCUUUUAUCUGGGAAGAAAUCCAUGAAUUCUUUCGUGGUUGACGGUACCAGAUGAAUAAGCACCGGCUAACUCCGUGCCAGCCGCCGCAGUAAUAC